rfam:Oryza meridionalis cultivar OR44 (W2112) chromosome 3, whole genome shotgun sequence.
UCCGUUGUAGUCUAGCUGGUUGGGAUACUGGUCUCUCACCCGAGUGACCCGCGUUCGAGUCCCGGCAACGGAA